CAGAGGUCCCAAGCGUUGUUCGGAUUCACUGGGCGUAAAGGGUGCGUAGGUGGUCGGGUAAGUUUGAUGUGAAAUCUCCGGGCUCAACCCGGAAACUGCAUUGAAUACUAUUCGGCUGGAGGGUUGGAGGGGGGACUGGAAUACUUGGUGUAGCAGUGAAAUGCGUAGAUAUCAAGUGGAACACCAGUGGCGAAGGCGAGUCCCUGGACAACUCCUGACACUGAGGCACGAAAGCUAGGGGAGCAAACAGGAUUAGAUACCCUGGUAGUCCUAGCCGUAAACGGUGCGUAUUUGCUGUAAAAGGAAUCGACCCCUUUUGUGGCGUAGCUAACGCGAUAAAUACGCCGCCUGGGAAGUACGGUCGCAAGAUUA
rnacentral:rRNA from 1 species